UAAGGCCUACCAAGCCAAAGACGGGUAGCGGGUGUGAGAGCAUGACCCGCGGGACUGAGACACUGCCCGGACUCCUACGGGAGGCUGCAGUAACGAAUCUUCCGCAAUGCGCGAAAGCGUGACGGAGCAAUGCCGCGUGUGGGAUGAAGCGGUUACGCCGGUAAACCACUGUCAGGGUCGAGGAAGAACUGACCUGACCCAGAGA
rnacentral:rRNA from 1 species